ensembl:Mt_tRNA
UAGGAUGUAGUAUAAUUGGAAGUAUAGGGAGUUUUGAUCUCUCUGGUGUAGGUUCGAGUCCUAUUUUUCUAA